rnacentral:lncRNA from 1 species
UAAUUUGAUGAGUUUGUAGGUUCACUAAACGUAAGGAACAGGUAUUCUCUGGGUGUCAGAGCCAGUUACCAUAUCAUCCCACAGCAAAUUUGAAAGUAGCAUUGUUAAUUCUCCAACACUCCCUGUCAAACAUAUAUAAUUGAAUAAACAAAAAGAGAGACUCAACCACAUGUGUAUGAGAGCAAGAGAAGUAAAUUUUGAUCACUACGAACAGUCAAGAUUAAAACACAAAAAGUGUUGUAAUUUUUUUAAGUAAAGUGACCUUUAGCUUAAGGUCCUAUUUGGAUACAUUUUAUCCACAAACACUUACAAGAGAAAAAAUAGCAAAAAAAAUGUUUUGUAAUUUAAAAUUAACUAAUUUGUAAACUCUCAUAUCAGUCUCUCCAAAUCUGUUUUGAAUUUAUAUAUAAACUACAGCCUACAUGGCAUACAAAGGCAGAUAUAUAUCGGAUAAUAGCUGUUAGUCUGUUAUUAAAUACAAGCUUACCAGUGCCAAUGGGUUGAUCAUCCCACACGAUGAUAGGCAACACAGGAAGUGUGCUUCCCACAUACAUCAUUUCAGCAGCAGCUUUAGCUUCCUCCACAGUUAGUUUUUUAGUUGCUACACCUUUCAGGAGCCCUUGAUCAACCAACUU